rnacentral:lncRNA from 1 species
CCACUUAGCGGAACAUGGUAUCACGAGCAGUUCAGAUCCUGAUGGGGUAUUAUCGUUGCAUACAUCUGGUGUGUACAUGAUGAUAUUCUUGAAAGGGUUGUUUAUCCUGCGUCUCUCUUGACCUUACCCUGGCCUAGAUGACACCUGUGAGUGGGGCGGGAAUUAAUCAUUACAGGUACAGUUGGUGACUUGAUCUGUUGGUGACCGUAUUCUGUUGGUGACUCUUGGUUCCUGUUGGUGACUUGGUUCAGAAGUGUGGGUCUCAG